rnacentral:tRNA from 1 species
CAGAAUAAAGUUUGAUUAAACAUUAACUUUGGAGGUUAAAAUAAAAUUUCUGA